AGUGAACGCUGGCGGUAGGCCUAACACAUGCAAGUCGAACGGCAGCACAGUAAGAGCUUGCUCUUACGGGUGGCGAGUGGCGGACGGGUGAGGAAUACAUCGGAAUCUACUUUUUCGUGGGGGAUAACGUAGGGAAACUUACGCUAAUACCGCAUACGACCUACGGGUGAAAGCAGGGGAUCUUCGGACCUUGCGCGAUUGAAUGAGCCGAUGUCGGAUUAGCUAGUUGGCGGGGUAAAGGCCCACCAAGGCGACGAUCCGUAGCUGGUCUGAGAGGAUGGUCAGCCACACUGGAACUGGAACAGGGUCCAUACUCCUACGGGAGGCAGCAGUGGGGAAUAUUGGACAAUGGGCGCAAGCCUGAUCCAGCCAUACCGCGUGGGAGACGGAGGCCUUCGGGUUGUAAAGCCCUUUUGUUGGGAAAGAAAAGCAGCAGGUUAAUACCCCGCUGUUCUGACGGUACCCAAAGAAUAAGCACCGGCUAACUUCGUG
rnacentral:rRNA from 1 species